ensembl:lncRNA
CCCCAGCACCUUGCCCCCUAUAGCGUGGUGGCCUCCAACCCUGCGAGGACUGCCGUUAUUUUUAUUUUUAUUUUAUUUUUUUUUUUUUUUUGUCUAGCGAAAGACCUGUACCUCAAGGCGAGCGGGCCGCCUAAUUACAUAACUGUAACUCCGUAUCUCCGUGUUUCUACGUCUCCCUUUCCCCCCCCCCAGCCCACCCGCUGCUGGAGGAGGAUGCUGCGGCCGCGCGCGGAGCCAGGCCCCGGGCGCGCUUCUUGCUGGAAAACCCCGGAGCGAGGCCGUCAGCGUGUGGGGCUUGGUGCCACGGGCAGCCCGCCGCCGCCCCCGCGCCCAGGGGAUGAUGUAGAGGGCCAGGAGCGGCUGGGUGAUAGGGAGCAGCGGUCGCGCUAAGGCAAAACCAGGCAGGCGUCAGCGAAAACAACCCUUGUAGCUCAGUUUGGGGAACGAUAUUUUUGCUCUCAACACCGUACGAUGCUCUGCGUAGAGAAUCAAGUGUCUAAAGCGUGCCACAGGCAAGCCCUUCAACGCAGGAAUCUGAAAACCGUGGAGGAGUUGCCCGGAGUGGUUCCCAUGCUGCUGUGCAGUGGCGCGCAGCCGCUGCCAGGACAGAUUGAGUACAAGAUGGAGAUGAUCCUCCAAAGAUGCCUUUCACCAAAAAAAAAAAGCGCUCACUUUCUGCAGACAACCUCAUCGUGUUGGACCAGAGAUACUUCUUACCUUGGAAGAAAAGACAGGCUAUGGGCGCAGAUUGGGAAUUGGAAGACUCUCAAGAUAAAACAGAAUUGUCAUGUGGAGCUCCUUGUGAGGAAUCAGGCAAAAAUUCCUUUUCUGUUAGAGGGACCAAAGAGGCACCCUUUUCCCUCAAAGAGGGACCCUUUUUCUGUUCUUGAUUGCAGUGAACCAACUGUUAAUGUUUGGAGGAGCGCUUCCCCCAGCCUUUGCGUAUGA